rnacentral:ncRNA from 1 species
ACAGGGGUGCCUGAUGGCUGAGAUAGUCCCUUUUGACCUGAUCUAGUUAAUGCUAGCGUAGGGAGUCAUAUCUAUA